UUGAAUCCUUGUGUUUUAGGACAAUGUUUGGAACACAGUUACAUAAAUAUGGACUCCAUCUUUUGUUAUUGCAACACAUUAUAAUGGCAAGUCAUUACUUUUCCUUGUAACAUGAGGGGCACUCCCAUUCAAGACAACUGGAAAAACCAGCUUCUAAAUACUUUGCCAGUAUUGAGAACCAGGACUUUGAAAUGUUGCGCAUUCCCUCUUCCUGGAAUAGACUGUACUUUGUAACUGCAAUCUACUAGUAUCUGCAAAGAAGAGCACAUAUGCAGAGGUGUAGAAAAGUGUGAGUUUCCCAGAAGCCAGAAGGACCAAGUACUUAGAACAGAGACCAACAACUGGAAGGCAGGGAUCGGAAUACAGCUCCUGGAAAGCUGCCAACUGGCCCGCAACAAAGUGCUCUCACCAUUCCGUCACUUUAAGUGAAAAAAAUGUGUGUUUAUGUCUUAUUUCAGUUGUCCCUCCCAUUCAAAACUAAAUACUUUCAGCCCAUCUGGCAUGAAGCUAA